AUAUCUGAUCACUACUGUAGUAGGGUUGGAAGGUUAGACAGGUUGUAUAUAUCUGAUCACUACUGUAGUAGGGUUGGAAGGUUAGACAGGUUAGACAGGUGAUAUGUAUCUGAUCACUACUGUAGUAGGGUUGGAAGGUUAGACAGGUGGUAUAUAUCUGAUCUCUACUGUAGUAGGGUUGGAAGGUUAGACAGGUGGUAUGUAUCUGAUCACUACUGUAGUAGGGUUGGAAGGUUAGACAGGUGGUAUGUAUCUGAUCACUACUGUAGUAGGGUUGGAAGGUUAGACAGGUGGUAUGUAUCUGAUCACUACUGUAGUAGGGUUGGAAGGUUAGACAGGUUGUAUGUA